AUCGAACGCUGGCGGCAGGCCUAACACAUGCAAGUCGAACGAGUGGCGGACGGGAGAGUACUGUCUGGGAAACUGCCUGAUGGAGGGGGAUAACUACUGGAAACGGUAGCUAAUACCGCAUACCAUCGGAUGUGCCCAGAUGGGAUUAGCUAGUGGGUGGGGUAAAGGCUAACCUAGGCUACGAUCCCUAGCUGGUCUGAAAGGAUGACCAGCCACCCUGGAACUGAGCAACGGUCCAGACUCCUACGGGAGGAAGCAGUGGGGAAUAUUGCACAAUGGGCGCAAGCCGGCUGCAGCACGGCCGCGUGGAUGAAGAAGGCCUUCGGGUUGUAAAGUACUUUCAGCGGGGAGGCGUUACCCGCAGAAGAAGCACCGGCUAACUCCGUGCCAGCAGCCGCGGUAAUUC
rnacentral:rRNA from 1 species